rnacentral:tRNA from 1 species
GGCCUCGUGGCUCGGUUGGUAGAGCGUACGUUAUACAAAAGCGUAGGUGGCUUCUAUGUGUGGGUUAGAAUCCGACUGAGGCUA